AUUAGACGAAUCAUCUGGAAAGUUGAAUCAAAGAAGGUAAUAAUCCUGUAGUCGAAAAUAUAUACUCUCUUGAGUGGAUCCUGAGUACGACGGAGCACGUGAAAUUCCGUCGGAAUCUGGGAGGACCAUCUCCUAAGGCUAAAUACUCUCUAGUGACCGAUAGUGAACCAGUACCGUGAGGGAAAGGUGAAAAGUACCCCGGAAGGGGAGUGAAAGAGAACUUGAAACCGUGUGCUUACAAGUAGUCAGAGCCCGUUAAUGGGUGAUGGCGUGCCUUUUGUAGAAUGAACCGGCGAGUUACGAUUUGAUGCAAGGUUAAGCAGCUAAUGUGGAGCCGUAGCGAAAGCGAGUCUGAAUAGGGCGUUUAGUAUUUGGUCGUAGACCCGAAACCAGGUGAUCUACCCUUGGUCAGGUUGAAGUUCAGGUAACACUGAAUGGAGGACCGAACCGACUUACGUUGAAAAG
rnacentral:rRNA from 1 species